rnacentral:rRNA from 1 species
AUUGAACGCUGGCGGCAGGCUUAACACAUGCAAGUCGAGCGCGCGGCGGACGGGUGAGUAAUGUCUGGGAAACUGCCUUAUGGAGGGGGAUAACUACUGGAAACGGUAGCUAAUACCGCUUACCAUAGGUUGGGCCAGAAUGGGAUUAGCUAGUAGGUGGGGUAAUGGCUCACCUAGGCGACGAUCCCUAGCUGGUCUGAGAGGAUGACCAGCCACACUGGAACUGAGACACGGUCCAGACUCCUACGGGAGGCAGCAGUGGGGAAUAUUGCACAAUGGGCGAAAGCCUGAUGCAGCCAUGCCGCGUGUGUGAAGAAGGCCUUCGGGUUGUAAAGUACUUUCAGCGGGGAGGCGUUACUCGCAGAAGAAGCACCGGCUAACUCCGUGCCAGCAGCCGCGGUAAUAC